UCUCUAAAAAUACAGGCCCAUAUUUGGGGAGCUAAAGUCAGACCGGCACUGGCUCCGUAUCCCAGCAACAGGGACUUAUACUGGAGUAGGCCCGUUAUGUCGCAUAGUCCUAAAAUGCAGUCAAGAAUCGCCCUUUGGCCCGUAACCGCUGGAGCUGAAUAGAGUGGAAUAACUGGAAUGGAAAAUCAACCAAGAUACAAAGUUAAGGCAGCAGGACAGGAGCCACUGACAAGGGACAGGGGGCAGGCCCCUGUGGCGAGGUCACACCGUUAUUCCGGGCCAGGGAGUGCUGGAAGUGCUGCUGGUAGAAGUCUUCUUCCCCCGGAUCCAUCAGCAGGGAAACAGGACCAUUGCGAGCAGUUCCAGCUGCAGUGUGGCCAGAGGUUUAUUCUGCUGCCCUCCGUCAGAGAUCACAGCCAUCUGCAGCCUAGAAAGAGGUCCUCAGGAAACAGACCUGAGACAUUUAAAAACAAGCCCUUCAAAGUAGCACGACUCCCCCUGGAAAACUGGAUCCCUCCACCCUGCGCGUGCAGACGUUGCUAGCAGAGCGCCGACUCGGCUGUGUCUUCACUGGCUGUCAUCUGAGCUCAAUAACCGCUGCUCCUGCUGCUGGCGGCUGGAAGUGUCCCCUUUGGACGGAUGAUGGUGGAGAAGUCUCUGUGCAGUCAGAAAAGCCACAGAGAAGUGAGUUGCCCAAGAUCACAGUGAGACAGUGUCAGAGCCAGAAGAGAACCCGAGUCCUGACUCCUGCUCCAGCACUGUAGCCACUAGAGUACAUUGCUGCUCAGAAUAAAAUCUGGGAGGUCUCACUCCAGCAGCCCGUCUAGAACUCAGAGUCCUGAUGCUCUCUGAGGGGCAGAGCCAGGCAUGCGCAUCUCUUCUCAGAGCUGGAACAGAACCCAGGAGUCCUGGUUCCUGGCCCCCUUUCCUCUUCCCAAGAGCUGACACUCCCACCCCACGACAGUUACGGUGGAAGCCCAACCAAAAUAAAUAAGACAAAAGCACCAGAGUAAUUGGGCUGGGGAAGGAGGGGUGAAAUCCAGACUCCGGACCCUACAGGAACAUCUGUCCAUCUCCUCAGGGAAGGGAUGAGGGAGGAAACAUCGACAGCCUAAAGGCAGAUUGAAAGCCAAGCGAUCCCAAGGGGGCAGGAGAAGGACAACGUCUUUCCCUCCAAAGGAAGCUUCUGUCCUGCUUUCCGCCCCAAGCGAAGAUUGGGGUUUCCAGGUGACACACAGCGAGGUUCCCAGGGCAAUGCCGGCGGGUAGGGGAGGAGUCUGCUACAGGGGAUGUCCAGUUUGAUCCAGGCCUUCGCGCUUCACAGCUCAUCGUGGGGGAUGUUCAGGGCAUGGUCGCACAGAUCUACGCAUACAAGCACAAGCCGUUAGAACAUGGGACUUACCCGACUGGAGCAGAGCUGAGGUCCAACCAAUCCAGUGUCCAGCACCAGCUGCUCCAGAGAAAGGAGGCAGAUCAUCCGUCCUAGAGGUGGAGGGCACAGGAGACCAUGGGACUCUGCCAUUUACUGGAGCACACAGCAGUCAAGGGGCCGGCUGGACGUGCAGCCCAAGGACAAGGCGGCUGCUCACGUGAGGACUGAAAGCUCUGGCUACCAGCCAGAGAACAGGGACUGGCUGGCACAGCAGUGCCCUGCGGGAAGAAGGGGGGGAAGCACUUCACUGCCCCCCACCCCGACCAUUCACACUUGAGUUAGUGGCUGUUUGAAGAGAGCUGUCGAAGUCGGCCUUUGACCCAGCCAGCGCAGAGGGCAGGAGCUCUCUGCUGAAGCCUGACACGUUGCUGUGGCAGGCAGCGCUAUCAGGUGUGCAGGGCCAGGGAGAUACGGGGACGGAGGUGUAACGCCAGGGUCCCUUUGCGACAGCCUGGACAAGAACGAACAAAGGUCAGGCGGCACCCAGGGCCGCCAUCCAAAAACAGCUUAGCGGGAUGGGGAAAUCAGUCUCUGAACAGCACCCAGCAGCUGGCUGCUCCAAUCCCGUCACUGCUCUUGGCAGCCAGUGAGAAUCCCCGACACAAAUGAGGUUGGGCUGCUUGUGGGAGGAGCCGCUUGGCCCAAGCUGGAGUCUCCCCCAAAAGCUGCAGGCGGUUAGAAAAGGCAGCGGAAAUACAUCUUCUGACUUGCAGCCCUCGGUAGGAGCAGCGAGCCCACGGAGCCGGGACGCUCCUGCAGAGCACUCGCACCAGAUCCCAGCAGGUCUCUGGAGAGGGUUUGACACCCCAAGGGCGAGGAGAGGCCAGGGGAUGGAAGGGCAAGUUACUGACAAGUGCGUAAGCCCGGGGAAGUUAGACUCAGAUCCCAUCAGUGGGCCAGGCACAGCCUACGUGAAACAGCUGCAGGACAGAGAGUGACCCAGCAGCUGCAGGAUAGGAGAGCCAGGAGCAGCGUCCGGUGGGCAGGGCACCGCGCUGGGAAUCAGGAGACCUCGGCUCUAUUCCCAGCCCUGCCGCUGACCUGCUGGGGGACCCUGGGCACGUCAACCCAACUCUGCCUCAGGUUCUUCAUCUGUAAAAUGGGGCGAAUGGCCCCGGCUGUCCUUUGUGCAGGGCUCGGAGGUUACGCACGAAGUGCGCUGGGUAACAGCUAAGUAUCAUUAGCUCCUUUCUGACUUUCCUUCUGGUUUAUGAAUAGUUUUUUGUAAUGGCGUCUCUCUAGCGCUCAGCAGAGUACCUGGGGAGUUAGCCAGCGUUCUGCGACAGGGAGGUGUUACAGAUGGGGAAACCGAGGCACAGAGUGGGGAAGUGACUCGACCAAGGUCUAGAGCAGAGGCAGGAAUUGGACCCACGUCUCCCGAGUCCCAGCCCAGCCCCUCGCCCAGGUGAGCAAGCCCCACUCCGCCCCACUGCUUUCAGCAGUCAGCACAGCUCAGCGGCACGCUUGUUGCUUUGGCUGUUUAAUGAACUCACUGAUUCCAAGAACCAGCAUAAAAUGGGAGGCCGUCCAAAUUACAAAAACAUGCAUAAGGGAGGUGCCUUAAAUCGACAUCUUGGGGAGAAAGAACUGGCGAAGGAAGGAGCGGUUGUGGGAAAGGUGGUGCGGAUGAGUCCAACACCCAGCUGCCUCCCCAGGCCUCAGAGGUGGGUGACUCCACGUCUCAGUGAAACUUAUGGACCAUGAUGCAGAGGGAUCACUUUCCCCAUCACUGGAAGGCAGUUUCCUCUGGGCUGCAGCGCAGCAGUCAGCCUGUACCAGCGAUGCUGCAGCACUGGUGCAUGAUGGGAAGUGGGGAAUAACAUUGAUUGAGUACAGGGGACCAGCCGUGGUAUCCUGGCUAAAUUCUUCGCCGUCCCUGCACCCUGCCAGUGGCUUCCGCCCUGUUCAAGGGACCAUCUCGCUCCUAGAGUGGUGGCUGCUGACUGGACGUGGCCUCCAGGCAGCCACCUAGAGGCGAAUGAAAGCCUCCAAGCUCCGUUUGUUUAAAACCAACAAAAGGAAGUAUUUCUUCACCCAACGCACAGUCAACUUGUGGAACUCCUUGCCAG